rnacentral:rRNA from 1 species
UACGUAGGGUGCGAGCGUUGUCCGGAAUUAUUGGGCGUAAAGAGCUCGUAGGCGGUGUGUCGCGUCGGCCGUGAAAACCUGCAGCUUAACUGUGGGCUUGCGGUCGAUACGGGCAUCACUGGAGUUCGGCAGGGGAGACUGGAAUUCCUGGUGUAGCGGUGAAAUGCGCAGAUAUCAGGAGGAACACCGGUGGCGAAGGCGCACAUCUGGCCCGAUACUGACGCUGAGGCGCGAAAGCUAGGGGAGCAAACGGG